rnacentral:tRNA from 1 species
GCCGUGGCGGUUCAGUGGUAGAAUUCCCGCCUUCCCUGCGGGAGACUCAGGUUCGAUUCCCGGCCGGUGCA